rnacentral:antisense_RNA from 1 species
CUUCACCGAGCCCAGCCACAGCGGCUGAUCGGCCGGCCGGUCCUGCCCGUAGGUGGCGAGCACGGCCUGCGCCUC